CCUACGGGAGGCAGCAGUGAGGAAUAUUGGUCAAUGGGAGGAAUCCUGAACCAGCCAUGCCGCGUGCAGGACGACGGCUCUACGAGUUGUAAACUGCUUUUGUACCGGGGUAAAAUGCCUUACGUGUAGGGUUUUGAAAGUACGGUACGAAUAAGGAUCGGCUAACUCCGUGCCAGCAGCCGCGGUAAUACGGAGGAUCCGAGCGUUAUCCGGAUUUAUUGGGUUUAAAGGGUGCGUAGGCGGAAUAUCAAGUCAGCGGUAAAAAUUCGGGGCUCAACCCCGUCGUGCCGUUGAAACUGAUGUUCUUGAGUGGGCGAGAAGUAUGCGGAAUGCGUGGUGUAGCGGUGAAAUGCAUAGAUAUCACGCAGAACUCCGAUUGCGAAGGCAGCAUACCGGCGCCCAACUGACGCUGAAGCACGAAAGCGUGGGUAUCGAACAGGAUUAGAUACCCCUGUAGUC
rnacentral:rRNA from 1 species